ensembl:lincRNA
AGCAUUUCUCCUGGUGUGGUGCGGAUCUAGGCCGCAAUCUCGUCUUCCAGCCGCGCUUCCGCCGGAGUUUCUUUUGUCACGGCGCCAGCUCCUCUCAGUGCCUCAGAACUCCGAGAAUCUGCAAACAUCUCUCUUCUUCCACAGCUGUCUGUUCUCUUUCGGCAGCCGCCCAACGCUGAGGCUGCACGGCCUUGCUUCUUCAGGGACAUGUGGAGAUGGAUGGAAACUUCUCCUGUGGUCAGCACCUUGGAUUCUGCAGCAGCCAGCCAGCCACUCCCUCCCCUACACUGCCUUUCCAGCUCUCCCUGCUGCCAGUGCAGAGCCCUGCUGUUCUGGAGUGUCACACGUGUGCUGAUGAGUGUGUGAGAGGUUUCCUCAGGGAGAAGAUGGUGAAAUGUCAGGUCUGUGCCACAUGCUGGCAGAGAAAUACCACAUUGAAGACAGUCAGUAAUAGUUGGCGCAACAGAUAA